CGUGAUACUAACUUUGAAACACGUAUUUCGAAAUGUCUGAUUAUUUUUCAACUCCAUUAUUAUCGUACGGUACGGUAUUAUCGUUAAGUUCUCAACACUGGAAUAUCAAUCUUCUAGCCAGGACACGACUAACAGGAAGACGAAUUUGUAGGAUACAGCACAGUGCCACAUAAAUCAGAAAGAGCAACGCAGCUAAGGUGUCUCUACCAGCCAAGUUAUGAAUGUUUAUGUUUCUAUACGUUUUAUUGCUACAUAUGGCUUUAUUUGUAGCCAGCAGAGCAUUAAUUUUAUAGUAUCAACGAAUUCGAAGUUUCUUCUGGCACCUCGAUGGCAAACUGACGUAUCGUAAAUAUCGUAAAAUGAGUACCUUGAAUUUCCCCUAAAUGUUUAAGUUUCCCAAUGUCUACAAAGUUAACUAACUCUUCGCUGAUCAGUGUUCGAUCACCACCGAGGAAUAAAAUUUAGCGUAACCUACCCUUGUGAAAGGAG
rnacentral:misc_RNA from 1 species